CCCGCUGAACUUAAGCACAUCAAUAAGUGGAGGAAAAGGAAAUUAACAAGGAUUCCCCGAGUAACGGCGAGUGAGCGGGAAAAGCUCAUAUUUAUAAUCUGGCAGGUACGCUGUACGAGUUGUAGUUUCAAGAAGCGUUUUCGGUGCACGUCCGGGUAUGGAACGGGGGCAUCAUAGAGGGUAAGAAACCCGUUUAUGACCCCGAACUGCGUAAUAUGUGAUACGUUUUCUAAAAGUCAGGUUGUUUGGGAAUGCAGCCUAAAAUGGGUGGUAAAUGUCUCAAGCUAAAUAUUGGCGAGAACAAGUACCGUGAGGGAAAGAUGAAAACAACUUUGAAAAGAGAGUUAAAAACAGUACGUUGAAUUGUUGAAAGAGAAACGUUUGAAAUCAGUCGUGCGGGCAGGUAAUCCGCUUGACCUUUGCGUCUUGUGCACUUUCUCGAUUCCCAGGCCAGCGUCGGUUUGUUUGCCCGAUUAAUGCCAAGGGAAUGUAGCUCGACCUUUCACGAUUAGGGGUGUUAUAGCCCUGGUAAAUAUGGCGGUCGAGACCGAUCAUGCCUCUCGGGGCUGGGGACUCCAUCGCUUAUUAACACCCGCGCCUAGACAGCUAGCUGACUAGGUGUGUGGUCUGUGGGUGACACGGUGUCGACUUGGGUCGCUGGGGUAAUGGCUUUAAAUCACCCGUCUUGAAACACGG
rnacentral:rRNA from 1 species